rnacentral:rRNA from 1 species
UACGUAGGGUGCGAGCGUUAAUCGGAAUUACUGGGCGUAAAGCGUGCGCAGGCGGUUUUGUAAGACAGAGGUGAAAUCCCCGGGCUCAACCUGGGAACUGCCUUUGUGACUGCAAAGCUUGAGUGCGGCAGAGGGGGAUGGAAUUCCACGUGUAGCGGUGAAAUGCGUAGAGAUGUGGAGGAACACCGAUGGCGAAGGCAGCCUUCUGGGCCAACACUGACGCUCAUGCACGAAAGCGUGGGGAGCAAACAGG